rnacentral:rRNA from 1 species
ACGCACGCUGGCGGCGUGCUUCACACAUGCAAGUCGAACGGAAAGGCCCUGCUUUUGUGGGGUGCUCGAGUGGCGAACGGGUGAGUAACACGUGAGUAACCUGCCCUUGACUUUGGGAUAACUUCAGGAAACUGGGGCUAAUACCGGAUAGGAGCUCCUGCUGCAUGGUGGGGGUUGGAAAGUUUCGGCGGUUGGGGAUGGACUCGCGGCUUAUCAGCUUGUUGGUGGGGUAGUGGCUUACCAAGGCUUUGACGGGUAGCCGGCCUGAGAGGGUGACCGGCCACAUUGGGGCUGAGAUACGGCCCAGACUCCUACGGGAGGCAGCAGUGGGGAAUAUUGCACAAUGGGCGGAAGCCUGAUGCAGCAACGCCGCGUGCGGGAUGACGGCCUUCGGGUUGUAAACCGCUUUCGCCUGUGACGAAGCGUGAGUGACGGUAAUGGGUAAAGAAGCACCGGCUAACUACGUG